ensembl:lncRNA
GUCCAAAGGAGCCCAUUUUGGCUGGGUGUGGUGGCUCAUGCCUGUAAUCUCAGCACUUUGGGAGGCCAAGGCAGACAGAUCACUUGAGGCCAGGAGUCUGAGACCAGGCUGGCCAAUAUGGUGAAACCCCAUCUCUACUAAAAAUACAAAAGCUGGGCGUUGGUGGCAUGCACCUGUCAUCUCAGCUACUUGGGUGCUUGAAGCACAAGAAUCACUUGAACCUGGUUGCAGUGAGCCAAGAUCAUGCCACUGCACUCCAGCCUGGGAGACAGGACUCUGUCUCAAAAAAAAAAAAAAAAAGAGCCAAUCUCUAAUGGAACUUGGGGCACCUGUCAGGAUACUAUUAAGCAGCAGAGGACUGGUCUGAAGCUGUUACAUUUUUUAAGUCAAGAUUAAGGUGGAGCAAGAGAUACUACCAGGUGUAGUCAGACUUUAAUGAUUUAAUGAUUCUCGGUAUGUGGUCCCUGAAACAGCAGCAGCAGCAGUUUCACCUAGGAACUAGUUAGAGAUGCAGAUUCUUGGGUCCCACUCCAGACCUGCUGAACCAAAAAUUCUGGGGGUGGGGCCUAACCAUCUGGAUUUUCAUGAACUGUGAUUCUUUUUUUUUUUUUUUUUUUUUGAGAUGGAGUCUCAUUCCUGUCGCCCAGACUGGAGUGCAAUGGUGCUAUCUUGGCUCACUGCAACCUUUGUCUCCUGGAUUCAAGUGAUUCUCCUGCCUCAGCCUCUCAAGUAGCUGGGAUUACAGAUGUCUGCCACCGUGACCGGCUAAUUUUUGUAUUUUUUAGUAGAGACAGGGUUUCACCAUGUUGGCCAGGCUGGUCUCGAACUCCUGACUCAGGUGAUCCACCCACCUCUGCCUCCCAAAGUGCUGGGAUUACAGGCAUGAGCCACCAUGCCUGGCCCUCAUGAACUGUGAUUCUGAUGCUCACUCAAGUUUGAGAACCACUGCUCUUCCAACUUGGACCAUCUUGCCUCCUGUGAUGGAUAAUACAUUCUGGUGUCCUCCACAUUCUACCAGCAUCUACACAGGACAGUUUGGUCUGUUACAUUUCCCAGAAUGGUUCCCAGUGCUGGAGAUAAUUCCUUUUCGGAGAACCUACAUUUCUCACCUGCUGAUUGCAAUUAGCCACUACCAGCUGGGGCCUGGUGUGCAGCUGAAAAGCUAACACGAAGUGGAGACCACGCGGAACCCAGACAGGGCAUAGGAUGUGCAUAAAUAAGCAACGGUGCCUGUGUUUAUGAGAUGCUCCUGUGAAUUCAAGGCUUCCCCACCCUCUGCAUAACUCUCCCUCUUCUGGCUUUGUGCUGCACACCCCUCCCCUAACUAUAUUUUUUGUCUCUGGUUUCGUAGCCUACACUUAACAUCACAGUCACGAAUUUACCACUAAGUACAUUUUGUUAGGCAAUAAACAGCCUUGGAAGAAAAAUGAAAUCCGACUAGGACUUCUGUUCUAAUAAUGUUUGUGAGCUGUGGUGGAUUCAGGCAGGCCCCACAUGCAGGUCUUAGAGCUAACCUUGGCUGUGGGGGCUGGCGGGGCUGGGAGAGGGCUCAGGGACCCCCAACUCAACUCCCUUAUUUUAUGAGGGAGGAUACUGAAUCCCAGAAUGGGAGCAUGGCCUGUCCAAAGUCUUAAAAGGAAGUCACAGGACUGGAUGAAGCCCAUGUCUCCCGACCCCCAGCUUAGGGCUUUAAACACUGCUUUGCUUUCACACAUCACGGGCAGCAGAUUGGUAGUUUGUGAGGAAAGCACCAAGGAGACUCCUGAGUGCUAGAAGGCAGUUUCUGUUGAACAAUGUGGUCUCCAACCCUAGGCAAUCUUUCUUUCCUUCCUCACGGACCAGGCAUGUCCCCUGUGCCAACGUUGCACCCUUUUCAUUCAGAGUUGAUACCCAUGUUUCCGUAGCUCACAGCUGCUGAACCCAAAUCCCUACUUGCUGCCUAAGGGGAAUGCUCUCCACCUUUAGAGCUGUCUUGGGUUUGUGCUGCAGGGAACAGCAGAGAACAGACACGCAAGCCGGGGGAACUUAGCAGCUGUCCCUGCGUGGUAGCUCUGCGGUGUAAAUGGAGGGAGGCCAGCCUCGUGAGGUCUGUGGCUUCUGGUGCAAUCAUAUCUACUGGCUGGGGAUGAGCUGGAUUUUUUCCAGCCCUCUCCACUCAGAGGAUCAGCCAUUCUAUACCCAACUCAGCUUCCACCAGGAGAGGCCAUCUUGAAGGAUUUAGAGUCGGGGAGUUAGACUGGCUUCCAGGUAGCAAGCAGUAAAGAAAUGUACCGGGACUUUGGACUCCAAUUCUGGCUUUGUUCUGCGGUGGGCAUGCCUCUCGGCCUCUGAUUCCUUGUACGUAACAUGGAGACUCAUAAUGCAUAGUUCAAUGGGCUUUUCUGAGAGGGUAAGGGAAGGAGUCAAAAAUAGGUUUGCUAUAAGUGUUCACUUUACUUCCCUCUAGUACUAAUUUCUGUUUUACUGAUAAGGAAAACUGAGGCCAAGGGAAGUAGAAAUACUCUCCCAAGGCCACAGGCUUUUCUAUUGUCUCCAGCCACCUGUUAGUCUCUGUCAGGCACUCGGGGAAGAAAAAACUGCAAUGAACUUCACUAACACAAAAUCCUUUCUCCAAAAAUAAGUGGUUCUACAUGCUGGUAAAUAUUUAACAAUUAGCUGGGGGUUUGGAGGAGGAAAGGCAGGAGAAAGCUCUGCUUUGUAGGCUUGUUGAUUUUUAUUUUAAGAGAACUGUAGAUUCACAUGCUGUUGUAAGAACUGUUAAUGAGAGAUGGCCUGUACCCUUCAUGCAGUUACCUCCAAUGGUAACAUCUUCAAAACUAUAAUAGUGUUACAACCAGAAUAUUGACAUGAUAUAAUCCACGAAUCUUUAUAUUUUCCCAGUUUUACUUGUACUCAUUUGUGUGUAUAUGUGUGUGUAUUUAGUUCUAUACAGUUUUAUCACAUGUGUAGGUUCCUAUGACCACUACCUGUAAAUUCAGUCAAGAUACAAAAUAAUUCCGUCACCGCAAGAACCUCUCUGUUACAAUCUUUACCUCCCUGCUGCUCUAACUCACCUUGUCAUUGAACCCUGACAACCUCUAAUCUGUCCUCCACUUAUUUAAAAAAUUUUAUCAAUUCAAAAUGUUAUAUAAAUGGAGUCACACAUAUGGAAUCUUUGGCAGUUGUUUUUUCACUCAGCAUAAUUCUGUCAAAUUUCAUCCAACGUGUGUGUAUCAAUAGUUAAUUCCCUUUUAUCGUUAAGUAAUAUUCUAUGGUAUGAAUGUGCCACAGGUUGUCUAACCAUUCACCUGCUGAGGGAUACCAAGGUUGUUUACAGAUUUUGGCUCUUGUGUAUAAAGUUACUGUGAAUAUUCAUGUAUAGGUUUUUAUGUGCACAAAAAUUUCCAUUUAUUUAGAGACUUGGCAUUCUAUCCAAUAAGUGAUUGCUGGAUCUCACAGUGGUUACAUGUUUAGUUUUGUCUUUAAAAUGCUAAAUUGUUUUCCAGAGUGACUGUACCAUUUUAUAUUCUCUCCAGUGAUGUACAAAUGAUCCAGAUUCCCCACAUCUUCACCAGCAUUUGAUAUUGUCAGUAUGCUUUAUUUUAGCCAUUCUGAUAGAUGUGUAGUGAUAUCUCAUUAUAGCUUUAGUUCGCAUUUCUCUAAUAGCUAAUGAAACUGAACAUCUUUUCAUGUGCUUGUCACCUGUUUAUCCUCUGAUGAAAUGUCUCUUUACUUUUUUUUUUUUUUUUUUGGCAAAUUGUCUAAUUGGACUGUUUGUUUUUGACUAUUGAGUUCUGAGAGUUCUUUAUAUAUUUUAAAUGCUAGUCCUUUGUGUGAAAUGCAUGGUUUGCAAAUAUUUCCUUUCACUCUAGCUUGGCUUUUCAUCCUCUUAUGGGGUACUUCACAGAGCAAAAGUUACUCAUAUUGAUGAGGUCCAAUUUACUAAUUUUUAAAAUUUUAUUGAGUGUGCUUUUUCUGUUAUUUUUAAGAAUUCAUUGCCUCUCUCUAGUUCACAGAGAUUUUUCUCUUUUUUUUUUCUAAAUGUUUCAUAGUCUUAUGCUUUACAUUUAACUCCAUGAUCCAUUUUGAGUUAAUUUUUCCAUAAGUUGUGAGGUUUAGGUCAAGGCUAUUUUGUGUGUGUGUGUGGUUGUUACUCAUGUGUGUCCAAUUGCUCUGGCAUUAUUCAUUGAAAGGCUGAUAUUUCUCCAUUGGAUUACUUUUACAUCUUAGUAAAAAUUUAGUUGGGCAUAUUCGUGUGGGGCUAUUUCUGGGUUCUCUGUUCUGUUCUAUUAAUUUAUAUGUGUAUUUUUGCACCAAGUCCACACUCCUGAUUAUUGUGGCCAAUAAUAAGCUUUAAUAUAAUUGCUUUUCAUUUCUCACCAUAGAAAAUAUAACAAAACAAUUCUCAUAAGGGAGGCAAUUAAAGAGAAAGCAAUUAAAAACUGUAGGGAGAAUGUAUUAUAGAAGUGUGUCAGGAAGUUAAUUAAUAUAAAUAUUGGAUUUAAAAAAUUUUUGUGAUGAUUAUGGUAUUUUCAACCUUUUAGAAUUUAUUAUUUAUUGCAAUUCCUUCUCAUGCUAAAUAAAUGUUCAUUUUCAUACUUGAAAAUAAUAAUAAGCUUUAAUACUGCAGAGGGUGAUUCCUUAUACUUUAUUCUUCCACUUCAAAAUUGUCUUACCUAUUUUAGGGCUUGUGACUUACCAUAUAAAUUUUAGAAUAAGUUUGUCUAUCUCUACAGAAAAUCUUGAUGGGAAGUUGAUUGGAAUUGCAUUAAACCUGUUUAUCAAUGUGGGAGAAUUGACAUCUUUACUACGUUGAGUCUUCUAAUCCACUUACUGGAAUGUCUCUCCAUUUAUUAGAUCUUCUUUGAUUUUUUUAUCAGCAUUUUGUAAUUUUCAGUGUACAGAUCCUAUAAAUAUUUUAAGUGUAUAUCUAAAUAUUUCUUACACUGUGCAGCUCUUGUAAAUGUUUUGUUAAGAGCAUACCUAAGGUUGUAAGUAUUUGCAAUCACAUUGGAGUUAUUGUAAAUGGUAUUGUGUUUUAAAUUUCUGUUUCCACAGUUCAUUAGUAGUAUAUAAAAUAUGUUGAUCUUACAUCCUGCAACCUUGCUGAACUUACCUCUUAGCUCCAGGAAUGUGGUUUUUUUGUUUGUUUGUUUGUUUGUUUGUUUUUAGAUUCCUUGAAAUUUUCUGCAUAGACAACCAUGUUAUCUGAAAAUGGGGACAAUUUCAUUUCCUCCUUCUAAUUUUUAUGAUUUUUAUUUCUAUUUCUUG